rnacentral:rRNA from 1 species
CAGUCGCCACGGUAAUACGUAGGUGGCGAGCGUUGUCCGGAUUUAUUGGGCGUAAAGGGAGUGUAGGCGGUCUUUUAAGUCUGAUGUGAAAGCCCACGCCUCAACCGUGGAGGGUCAUUGGAAACUGGGAGACUUGAGUGCAGAAGAGGAGAGCGGAAUUCCAUGUGUAGCGGUGAAAUGCGUAGAUAUGUGGAGGAACACCAGUGGCGAAGGCGGCUCUCUGGUCUGUAACUGACGCUGAGGCUCGAAAGCGUGGGGAGCAAACAGGAUUAGAUACCCCCGUAGUCCCUGUCUCUUAUAC